rnacentral:misc_RNA from 1 species
GAUGAAGAACGCAGUGAAAUGCGAUAAGUAAUGUGAAUUGCAGAAUUCAGUGAAUCAUCGAAUCUUUGAACGCAACUUGCGCUCCUUGGCAUUCCGAGGAGCAUGCCUGUUUGAGUGUCAUGAAACUAUCAAGCUACAAAUGUUCUUGUUAGCAUUUGUUGGUUUGGACAUUGGAUGCUUUGCUGGACAAUAUUGUACAGCUCAUCCGAAAUUUAUUAGCUGGUCUAAAUACCUUGGACUAUAUCCACUUGGCGUGAUAAGUAUCACCCGCUGAGGACUUGUUCAUUGGAGGUUGACUGCUUCUAGUAACCCAAUUAUAUUUGAAUCAUCUGACCUCAAAUCAGGUAGGACUACCCGCUGAACUUAAGCAUAUCAAUAAGCGGAGGA